rnacentral:rRNA from 1 species
GGUUGAUCCUGCCAGUAGUCAUAUGCUUGUCUUAAAGAUUAAGCCAUGCAAGUGUCAGUACGGCCCUACUCUCUGAGGGGGCGAGACUGCGGACGGCUCAUUAAAUCAGUUAUGAUUCCCAGGAGCCAGAACCACUUACUUGGAUAACUGUGGCAAUUCUAGAGCUAAUACAUGCACUUCAAGCUCCACCUGCCCCGUUCGCGGGGCGGGAGGUUGCGCACCUGUUAGCCUCGAAAGGCGGCGGCUUCGGCCCCGUCGAAAGGAGAUGAACUCUGGACAGCAUUGCCGAUCGCACGGCCUUUAGAGCCGGCGACGUACCUUUCAAGUGUCUGACCUAUCAUACUAGAUGAUUUGCGCUCUGCGCACCAUGGUUGCAACGGGUGACGGGGAAUCAGGGUUCGAUUCCGGAGAGGGAGCAUGAGAAACGGCUGCCACAUCCAAGGAAGGCAGCAGGCACGCAACUUACCCAAUGCCGACACGGCGAGGUAGUGACGAAAAAUACCAAUACGGGAACCGCUACACGCGGUCCCGCAAUUGAAAUGAGUACACUCUAAAUCCUUUAACGAGGAUCUAUUGGAGGGCAAGUCUGGUGCCAGCAGCCGCGGUAAUUCCAGCUCCAAUAGCGUAUGUCAAUGCUGCUGCGGUUGAAAAGCUCGGAGUUGGAUCUCGGUGACGGGCCGACCGUCUCGCUCUCGGAGCGAUGCACUGGUCGGCGAUAGGGGUAGGGUUUAACCGCCCUCACCCUUGCCUCCGUCCCUCUGUCCGGAAUUUGUUUCCUAGCCCGGGUGCUCUUGACUGAGUCGCUCGGUGCCUGGCCGGACGCUUCACUGUGAAAAAAUUAGAGUGCUCAAAGCAGGCCUCAGUGCCGGUAUAUCGCUGCAUGGAAUGAUAGAGAAGGACCUCGGCGCGUGCCCUCACCGGCACGGCGCACGAGGUAAUGAUUAAGAGGGACUGCCGGGGGCAUACGUACUGCGGCGCGAGAGGUGAAAUUCUGUGACCGUCGCAGGACGAACUAAAGCGAAGGCAUUUGCCAAGAAUGUCUUCAUUAAUCCAGAACGAAAGUCAGAGGCUCGAAGACGAUCAGAUACCGUCGUAGUUCUGACCGUAAACUCUGCCUACUGGCAAUCCGCCGACGGUAUCUCAACGACUCGGCGAGCGGCCUACGGGAAACCAAAGUGUUUGGGUUCCGGGGGGAGUACGGUCGCAAGGCUGAAACUUAAAGGAAUUGACGGAAGGGCACCACCAGGAGUGGAGCCUGUGGCUUAAUUUGACUCAACACGGGAAAACUCACCCGGUCCGGACACUGGUAGGAUUGACAGACUAAAGCUCUUUCUUAAUUCAGUGGGUGGUGGUGCAUGGCCGUUCUUAGUUGGUGGAGUGAUUUGUCUGGUUAAUUCCGAUAACGAACGAGACUCUUGCCUACUAAAUAGUUCGGGGACCUAGGUCCGUCCGCUCUGCGGGGGACCUGCUUCGGGUCACUCGAUCGCUCUACGGAGCCAACUUCUUAGAGGCACAAGUGGCGCUUAGCCACACGAAACGGAGCAAUAACAGGUCUGUGAUGCCCUUAGAUGUCCGGGGCCGCACAUGCGCUACAAUGGCUGCAUCAGCGCGAGUCUCUCCUGAAAGGGCGAGGAAACCGCUCAACCGCAGUCGCGGUUGGGAUUGGGGGCUGCAAGUGUCCCCCAUGAACACGGAAUUCCUAGUAGGCGCCAGUCAUCAGCUGGCGUCGAUUGAGUCCCUGCCCUUUGUACACACCGCCCGUCGCUAUUACCGAUCGCUCUCGUUAAUGAGCCCGUCGGAUUGGACCCGGUGGGGCGUUUCGGCGCCCCGCGUCCUGGUGUUUGCCGAGAAGAUGGGCGAAUUAUCGGGGGUAGAGGAAAUAAAAGUCGUAACAAGGUAUCCGUAGGUGAACCUGCGGAUGGAUCAUUAACAAAUAAACAUUGAAAAAUAACAAGAAGCUAACGGCUCAGAUUUGAACUCGCUCCGCGGCGGCGUUGCCUCAGAGCAGUGCUGCCGAUCGGGAUUGGCGUGGCCCGAGGCUCCCGAAGCUUUAUGUGCCCGCCUGAGAGGCGAUCGACCGUUAGUCCACGUAGAACGAAAGUCACAGACCCAGGCGAUGGAGACGCCUCAGGGGGCUCUAUAGCAGUACUGAACUAUCACCCAAAAAAGCCUCUCGGUUUGUAAACACAAACAAAAACAACACACUCGGAGGGAGGAGGGAAAGUGUGAAUAGUGCUACGGCGGUCUUUUUCUUUAAACUUAGGCUCCGCGAUGGCGGCGCUGCCUCAACAGCAGUGCUGCCGAGCGGGAUUGGCGCGGCCAAAAGGCUCCCCGUCGAUAGACGGGGGCUUCGUGUGCCCGCCUGAGAGAGGCGAUCGACCGUAGCCUUAAAGAACGAAAGUCAUUUCUUAUUAUUCUCGCCCAACCCACUCUGUGGGCGGCGAGAUAUGAAAAUCCAUAGGAAAAAAAAGUCGCAAGACUUCGACCCCGGCGCUAGCCACGCCGGGGGCCCGAAAGCAAUGAAUCAACACAAUUCGGCUUUUUUAAUCUUACUACUCUGUGCGGUGGAUCACUCGGCUCGUGCGUCGAUGAAGAGCGCAGCUAGCUGCGAGAGGUAAUGUGAAUUGCAGGACCGCAUCGAAACAUCGACAUCUUGAACGCACAUAGCGGCUUCCGGGUCACUCCGGAAGCCACGUCUGUCUGAGGGUCGGCAUUGUUUGCAAUCCGAGCGGGGCGAAACGUCCAAGUUUCACCACCCCGCUGCAGGAGUUGGCGCGGUCCGAGGCUCUUAUUACUGAGCUGGACGUACCCGCCUUGAGAACAAAUAAACCAAGAGCCGGGGUCAGAUGUCCGGCGCCGUGGCCUAAUGCGGAAACGUGAAAGGGCCUGCGGCGCGACUGGGGUCGACUCGAAGCUCUUUAUGCCGGUAGGGGUCUGAUGUCCGGCGCCGUGGCCCGAUGCGGAAACGUUAUCUGGGCCCGCGGUGCGACUGGGGUCGACCCUCCACGUUUAGCAGCUGACCUCAGAUCAGGCGGGAAUACCCGCUGAACUUAAGCAUAUCAAUAAGCGGAGGA